GACGAACGCUGGCGGCGUGCUUAACACAUGCAAGUCGAACGGAAAGGCCUUUUCGGAGGUACUCGAGUGGCGAACGGGUGAGUAACACGUGGGUGAUCUGCCCUGCACUCUGGGAUAAGCCUGGGAAACUGGGUCUAAUACCGGAUAGGACCGCACUUUAGUGUGUGUGGUGGAAAGUUUUUUCGGUGUAGGAUGAGCCCGCGGCCUAUCAGCUUGUUGGUGGGGUAAUGGCCUACCAAGGCGGCGACGGGUAGCCGGACUGAGAGGUUGGUCGGCCACAUGGGGACUGAGAACCGGCCCAGUCUCCAAGGGGAGGAAGGAGGGGGGAAAAUUGAAAAAGGGGGGCAAGCCUGAUGCAGGGACGCCGGGGGGGGGAGGAAGGCCUUCGGGUUGAAAACCCCUUUCGCCAGGGAAGAAGGGUUUUGGGACGGGACCUGGAGAAGAAGCACCGGCUAACUACGU
rnacentral:rRNA from 1 species